rnacentral:lncRNA from 1 species
ACUUGAAUCAGCAUACUCACACAUUACUUAUGGAGAGAACUUCUUUUGUCAAUGCUUAAGUUACUGCUUGUUGUAAAAAAAUAAAAGAAUGACCAUCCCUGAUCUCAGACCAGGUGGUGAACAUCUGCAAUUCUGUAAAAUUUCCACUGUCAUGUUAUAAAUAUGACAAUGAUCAAUGGGAGCAGAGAGAAAAAAUGGAUUGAGGAGAGUAAAUGAACAUCAAUCAAGAGUGUGACUGGACACAGUAGGAAUUCAUUCGAGGAAAGAAAUAUCUCAGAUAUGGGGAGAAAACAACUGUCAGCAAGGACAGAUUGACCACAGUCAAUUCAACAAAAGAAGUCUCUCCAGGUAAGUCUUCCAUGAACCUCACUAUACCAAACAUUUUGGUAUCUGCCUCCUUCCCUUUUUCAUUUAAUAUACAUGUAUAUUUGAGGGUCUCAUUUUCAAUCACUGUAUCUUUUCUUUUUCUAAUAAAUAUUUGUCCUUUUAUAGAAAAGAGUGUAGUGUCUGUUAUUCUCCUAACAUCUCCCUUCUAUUUUUGGAUCUCAGACUGCCCAAAUCUGCAUGUCUAUUCAUUUAGAAUGCUGAAGCAAUGCACAAAAGCUGCUACUGGUAUCAGAAACUGAUAUGAGAAUCCUAGACUAUUUAGGACCUUACACUAUUAAAAUUUACUUACAUUGGCAAUUUUUUUGAUUUACAAUUUAUUUUUUGACCUGUGAUGGGAUUAUCAAAACAUAACCACAUCAUAAAUAGAGGAAUACCUGUAUAUAAUAAAAUCAUAAACUUUUUUAUAUAAGAUAAAAAUCUUGGAUUGAACUUAAUACUGCUAAAUUAAUCCCUCAUUAUAAUUUCAUGGAAAUUUUAAUAAUUUGAAAGAAUUUAAACUAAUUUUAAUAUUAGGUUUAAUUGGAGUA